rnacentral:rRNA from 1 species
UACGAAGGGGACUAGCGUUGUUCGGAAUUACUGGGCGUAAAGCGCACGCAGGCGGUUCGCCAAGUUUGGAGUGACAGUUGUCGGCUCAACCGACAAAGGACUUCAAAAACUGGUGAACUUGAGGACGCGAGAGGAACAUGGAACUCCAGGUGUAGUAGUGAAAUGCGUAGAUAUCUGGAAGAACACCAAUGGCGAAGGCAAUGUUCUGGCUCGUUUCUGACGCUCAGGUGCGAAAGCCAGGGGAGCGAACGGG